rnacentral:rRNA from 1 species
UCAUCUCCGGGGGUAGAGCACUGUUUCGGCAAGGGGGUCAUCCCGACUUACCAACCCGAUGCAAACUGCGAAUACCGGAGAAUGUUAUCACGGGAGACACACGGCGGGUGCUAACGUCCGUCGUGAAGAGGGAAACAACCCAGACCGCCAGCUAAGGUCCCAAAGUCAUGGUUAAGGGGGAAACGAUGUGGGAAGGCCCAGACAGCCAGGAUGUUGGCUUAGAAGCAGCCAUCAUUUAAAGAAAGCGUAAUAGCUCACUGGUCGAGUCGGCCUGCGCGGAAGAUGUAACGGGGCUAAACCAUGCACCGAAGCUGCGGCAGCGACGCUUAUGCGUUGUUGGGUAGGGGAGCGUU